ACAUGGAUUGAUGGAUUUCCAUAUCAUUACAAUAAAUGGGCACAACAACCACCCAACAAUGCUGGACGUGUUGAAGAUUGUGUGUACACUCAAUAUUGCCACUGUGGAUUUACUUGGAAUGAUUCCAACUGCAAGAUAAAAUUUGGUUUUAUUUGUUCCUAUAGUCUCUAUUCCGGUUAGAAGACUCCAGAAUGAUCCACUCAUCCUUUCCAGCAGUGGAUCCAGUGCUUUGAUUUCUUUGUAGCCGCUCUCACUGUCUGUGGUGACUGUACUCACUGAGCUUCUCAGCCAAUAAUAAAGAGAACUGCAUCAUGA